rnacentral:rRNA from 1 species
CUGCAACUCGACUGCACGAAGCUGGAAUCGCUAGUAAUCGCAGAUCAGAAUGCUGCGGUGAAUACGUUCCCGGGUCUUGUACACACCGCCCGUCACACCAUGGGAGUCAGUAACGCCCGAAGUCAGUGACCUAACCGCAAGGGAGGAGCUGCCGAAGGCGGGACCGAUAACUGGGGUGAAGUCGUAACAAGGUAGC